CUCCGCGUGUCUUAAAGGAUAAGACAUCUGACUUUGAAUCAGAAGAUUACUGAUUCGAACACUGUCGCGGAUU